UACAGAGGGUGCGAGCGUUGUCCGGAAUCACUGGGCGUAAAGGGCGCGUAGGCGGCCUGAUAAGUAGGGGGUGAAAUCCUGUGGCUUAACUGCAGGGCUGCCUCCUAGACUGUUAGGCUCGAGCACGGUAGAGGCAGAUGGAAUUCCCGGUGUAGCGGUGGAAUGCGUAGAUAUACGGAGGAACACCUGCGGCGAAGGCGGGUAGCUGGGCCAACACUGACGCUGAGACGCGAAAGCUAGGGGAGCAAACGGG
rnacentral:rRNA from 1 species